GACGAACGCUGGCGGCGUGCUUAACACAUGCAAGUCGAACGGAAAGGCCCUGCUUUUGUGGGGUGCUCGAGUGGCGAACGGGUGAGUAACACGUGAGUAACCUGCCCUUGACUUUGGGAGAACUUCAGGAAACUGGGGCUAAUACCGGAUAGGAGCUCCUGCUGCAUGGUGGGGGUUGGAAAGUUUCGGCGGUUGGGGAUGGACUCGCGGCUUAUCAGCUUGUUGGUGGGGUAGUGGCUUACCAAGGCUUUGACGGGUAGCCGGCAUGAGAGGGUGACCGGCCACAUUGCGACUGAGGGACGGCGCAGACUGGUACGGGAGGCAGCGGGGGGGAAUAUUGCGCAAUGAGCGCGAGCGUGAUGCAGAGGCGCCGGGUGCGGGAAGACGGCCUACGGGGUGUGAACCGCUUUCGCCUGUGACGAAGCGUGAGUGACGGUAAUGGGUAAAGAAGCACCGGCUAACUACGUG
rnacentral:rRNA from 1 species